rnacentral:rRNA from 1 species
GAUUAACGCUAGCGGCAGGCCUAAUACAUGCAAGUCGAACGGUAACAGGUGUAGCGAUACAUGCUGACGAGUGGCGCACGGGUGCGUAACACGUAUGCAACCUACCUAUAACCGGGGAAUAGCCUUCCGAAAGGAAGAUUAACACCGCAUAACAUCACGAAACGGCAUCGUUUUGUGAUCAAACCUCCGGGGGCUAUAGAUGGGCAUGCGUAACAUUAGCUAGUUGGUGAGGUAAUGGCUCACCAAGGCUACGAUGUUUAGGGGGUCUGAGAGGAUGAUCCCCCACACUGGUACUGAGACACGGACCAGACUCCUACGGGAGGCAGCAGUAAGGAAUAUUGGACAAUGGGGGCAACCCUGAUCCAGCCAUGCCGCGUGAAGGAUGAAGGCCCUCUGGGUUGUAAACUUCUUUUGUACGGGAAUAAACCCCUUUACGUGUAGAGGGUUGAAUGUACCGUAAGAAUAAGGAUCGGCUAACUUCGUGCCAGCAGCAGCCGCGG